AUAGUGUAUAAAAGGGUAGAAACUUAGCACUCCCCUUGAUAAGGAUAUAAAAGGCCCCAAGGCCUACACAACGCAUUUAUGGUUAAGACAUUACCACCAACUUUGUGGCAUCCAGCCUUUUUUUUUU
ensembl:snRNA